UGCACACAGAGCUGGAGGUGCAGCAUGCAUCAGCUGUACACAGAUUUUGCAGUGCAUACGAAGCCAUCAUAAGCUGACACGUGGCUCCUACGUAGCAUUAGUAUUUUUUAAGCAUACCAUUUUCACUACUGAAAAAUGUUUAUGUUGCUCACGGUAUAAAUACAAAUCUGUAGUUACACAGCCUUUGUAGGCCUUGCGGCCCAGACAGUCCAGAGCCCCAAAUCAGAUCCACUGCAGCUGCAGUGCUCUCACCUGACUGACAGGAAUGGAACUGGUGAGGUCCUGCUGAACCUGAGGUCUGAGCAGACCACGUUUGUGACGGAACAACAGAUUGUGAUGAAAAGAACCAGGGACAUGGUGUGAGGGAUGGGUGAGAGCAGCACCAGGAGAGGUGCGCAGGCUGACGCAGGCUGCAGCCCCACAGCCACGCUCAGACCUCCCUUCUACAGUCCCGAACAGCUCAGGGGUCAGGAUAAGGACAGGGAGAUUCCCCAUCAGUUACCACCACAGGCCAAAUGGACUCGGCAAGAUACAGUGUGAUUUUUACAUCUCCGAGAAGGCUGGAUUAAUAGCAGGAGCCAGCAACAUCACUGUCACAACAUGUUAGUGCUGCCAAGAGAAGAAACAGGAAGAAUAACGUCUGUACUAUAGAGGCUUACAAAAUGGUUCAACCCAGAGGCAUCGCUAGGCACUGUUUUAGCUCAGCAGUGACUCACCGUAACUGCUCACAUGCUCAAAACACCAUGGAAGUCUCCCCUCAGCGAGUCUUUCAACUGCCCUGCUGGGGCCACACUGCAGGUUGGCGCAGCCAAGAGCAGUUGUGCAUUUUACCAUGAUUUCUUCCCUCCUCAUGGAUGCAAUUUCCUACCUGCCCUAGUAACUGUAGAUUUUAAUCCUGAUGGAAGGAGUCUGGACUUCAGAUGGUUGCUUCCCUCCCCCACUCCUCCUUUUUCUGUUCUGCUUUUGUGAGGAUGUACAUUCUUUGACACCCUUCCUUUGUAUCAAGGUCAACUAACACAUGCCAAAGUGAACACGCUCCUUUGAAAGAGAGAAGGGUUUCGUUCUUUCCAUCAGUUGCAUUUGUUUUCAGGUUUCUUCCUUAAACACAAUUACCUUCUUCUCUUCAAACUGCUCUUUUGGAUAAACUGGAAAUCAAAAAUUUUGCUGUAUAAAAAUUAUUUGAAACAGCGACCCAAAGCUGC
rnacentral:lncRNA from 1 species